rnacentral:rRNA from 1 species
UACGUAGGGUGCAAGCGUUGUCCGGAAUUACUGGGCGUAAAGCGUGCGCAGGCGGUUCGUUGUGUCGGUGGUGAAAGCCCCGGGCUUAACCUGGGAAUGGCCAUGGAAACUGGCGAACUGGAGUGUGGCAGAGGGGGUGGAAUUCCGCGUGUAGCAGUGAAAUGCGUAGAGAUGCGGAGGAACACCGAUGGCGAAGGCAGCCCCCUGGGCUAGCACUGACGCUCAGGCACGAAAGCGUGGGGAGCAAACAGG